ensembl:lncRNA
CUGGAAUCCAUUUAUUUCAACAAAAGAUGAGUUAAAUUUAAUUACAGGAUACAUUGUUCUAACUGGCAACUAAUGAGAAGUUAAAAACAAAUUUUGAAAAUACAGCAUUAUUUGCUUCAUUUUGGACAAAAAUUAAGAUGAAUAUCCUGGGCAUACUGAAAGUAUUUUAAAUCCCUUUGUAAACGUGGUUUUCUUAUGAAUGGUAUUAAAACAACACACAGAAGCAGUUUAGAUAUACACCAUUCCCUGAAAGUGGCAUUGUCGUCAAUCUGACCUGCAUUGGAUGUUUUAACAAGAAACAAACUCAUUUGUCACAUUAAAACUUUAAAAUAUUAAGAUGCAUGGUGUUUAUUCAAAGUAUGUCUAUAAUGGUUUAAUCAAGAGAAUUACUAAGUCACUCAAUUUUCUUCAGUGACAAGUGAAGAACAAUAAAAUGUUAAGGGUUAUAGAAAUUUUGUAUAUUAAUCUUAAAUGCACAUUUUCAACAGUUUUUUAAAUCAUUCUUUUCUCUUUCCCUUUUACGUUUGUUCUAAUUCUAUUUAUUGAAAUUUAAUUUUAUGUUUAUUGAAUCAGAUCAUGAAAAAUUUGAGCUUGUACUUUUUAUGUUUUUUUUCUCUUUUCAUUUGUACUAAUUUAGUUUUAUUGUAAUUUAUGAAGGUGUUGGACCACAAUGGCUCAAACAACGGUCCUAUCAUCACAGAUGGUUUGACACUCCUAUUUUACAGUUCAUAUACUUUCCAGACAAUUAUUCAGCUUUAGCUUGAAACCUUCUAGUCACUAGGAGCUCAUUGCCCUUCCAGGAAGCCAGCUCCAUUAUUUUACAGCUCUGAUUGUUAGCAAGUGUUUCCUUACAUUGAGCAGAAAUCAAUCUUCCUAGGAUUUGUAAUUCUCAGAUUUGGUCCUGCCCCUGGAACUGUAUAAAAUAAAGUUACUCCCUCUUAUAUAUGACAGCUCUUCAGAUAUUUGAAAGCAUUUGUCAUAUCCCUUCUUAUUUUUCUUUAAACUCUACCUUUUUGAUUAUCCAGAUGACUUGAUUUCCAGAACUUCCCUGUCCUGGUUGCCUUCUUCUGCACAUAUACUUUCAAUAAUUUCUUUCUUAAAAUAUAUUACCCAGAACUGAACUGAAUAUAAUUUUCUUGUUCUGGACAAUAUACUUCUGCUAAUGGUGCCAAUAACGCAUUAAGUUUGUUAGCAGUUGUGUCACUCUCUUGAUUCAUAUUGAGUCAUAAUUUCUUAAGAGGGAAUCAGAAUAUCAAAACAGUCUCCAAAGUCAGCUCUUCCUUAUGUAAAUACACUCUUCCACCCUUCUUGAUUCCUUUUAGGGAGAAAAUAAAAAGUUUAUUUUCAUUGUUAACCUCACUGAUUUUUAAUUUUAUCACUUAAAUGUUAGCAACAUGGCUGGUUAUGUAGCCGAAGAAGAUUUUAAGCAGGGAUGAUAUAUUUAGAAACUUCAUUCUGGCUAAAGGGUGGAGGGCAGAGGAUGGACUGGAACAGGCGCAAGCUGAAAUGUUGGGUGAACUGUUAAAUGACUGAUGUAGUAAUUCAGAUGACAAAUAAUAAUGGCCUGGAUUUGAGACGCAGAAAAGAAGAUGGGGAGAAGGAGACAGAUUCCACCGAAAGGUAGGAAGUAAAAUUAAUAGGAUUUGGUAACUAAUUUAUAUGGGAAUGACAGAGUAAUGAAUGAGAGAGGGGGGAAAAAAGAGCUCUUGACAUCAGAAGCUGACCUGGUAUUCAGAGCUGGGCCGUGUUAUUUCCUGUUGGGCGUAUGAAUCUCACAGAUUACCAACAUCAGACAGAUUAUUCUGAGACCAUAUAACAUGAGAAAAAAACAAGUCUGCUUCAUAAUUUUGUCUAAGCACAGACGAAAACAGGGUCACUGUGCCAUCCACAAAAUACCAAAUCCCCCCCUCUCUUGACUAAAAUGAGUGACAGCUACUUCUUUACCAGUUAUGGUAUUAUCCUUGUUCUGGAUGGUUCUUCCUGUAGAUAAGAUGUAUUGAGAUUCCAAUCAUAAAAUGCCUCUUCUUUCUGACAGCAUCCAAUGUAGAGCAGAGCCCUGCUUCCUUAGACCCUCUCUCAAAUCACUCAUCCAAAUCCCAAAUCCUGGAUAGGUUCUUUCUCACUCUCUUCCUGAGUCCCACGGUUCGCCUUUACUGCAAUGAGUAAUAAACUCGUUCAACUAGAGGUGUGUUCCUGGUUGUCUCUGGCUGAAGGGCAUUGACAUUAAGAAUAAUCCCAGGAUUUCUUGCUUGGACGAUCAGGUGCUGGUAGUAGCAGUAAUAGAAAUAAAGAAUACUAGAUGAGAGGGAGGAAAUGUCUUUAAUUUCUAAGAGGUGAUCUUUGAGAUUAGAGAUAACCAGGAAGUAAUUGGAUGGAUAUAUGGUUCUGGAGCUUAAGAGAGAUGUCUUUGCUCAAUCUCUCUCUCUCUCAUCUCCAUCCACACAUAAACAUACUAAAAAAUAUAUUUUUGAAGCCAUUGUUUAUAUAGUAAUUGAAACUGUGGGAUGAGCUAAAAUCACCAUAGAGGGAAUAGAAUGAGGAGGGAAAAAGGUUGAAGACAGAACCCCCAGGAACACCUAUAUUUAUGAGGUGGGCAGAAAAUGAGAUACUCAGAAAAGACUUUUAGACGGAGCUGUCAUUGAGGAAAGAAGAGAACCAGGAGUAGAAAAAGACCAGAAGUUAGAGAAGGAGAGCGUUUCAAGAAGGAGGAUGAGAUUAGCAGUUUUAUAUGCUGCUAAGAACUCAAGUAAGAUAAGGAGCCCGUCAAGCAGUGUGACAUCUCCCCAUCAUUUUUUGAGCACCUCUUUACACUCUGGGACAAUAAGAUGUUUCAGGCUCCUCUUAUACUUCCCUGCUAGAGCCCUGGAAUCAGCCAUUUCUCUAAGGACUCCUGUUUCCUUUGAGUGGAAAAUGGUAUUUAGAGACCAAGAUCUGCUGUCCUGCUUACUCCUUUUAAGAAGCUUGUCUGUGAAGGGCUCUUGCUGUGUGGGGGUCACACAGGUGAGUGGAAGGAUGGAGAGAGGGGGAGACUUGGCUUACAUAAAGAUGAGCAAAGCAGAGGUCUGGCGAUCAGACCUGAAGCUUAAGGUCAAAAGCAGGAUAAAGAUGAUUUGACCUUGAGUCCCUGAGUGGCACAUAGAACUCCAAAGGUCUCCCUAAGGUUAGCAUUCAUUUUGGGAAUCUGGGUGGAGUUCUGCCUUGCAAUAGGCAUUAGGUGGUCUGAGCAGGAGAGAGAGGCUGUGUGCCAAGGCUGGGCACCAAGCAAAGCCUGAAACCACCUGGGAAAUGUAUGGGUUAUCUACCUGUGCCAAGCAUUUUACCCUGACGUGUGGGCUUUAGUGUUGCAGUUGUAACUCUCUACUUAUUAAAGUAAUAAGUAUGUUUGUUGACUUUAAUAUUCUUUAUUAUUAAGAAAAGAAUUGGAUGUUUGGUGUGAACAUCUGUGGUUUUGUUGACCCAGCAUUCCAACCUUCUUUCUUCUGGAAAAUGCCCAUUUUCCUACCACAAACAUCUUGUAGGGAGUCCCAGCUCCUGGCUAGAGUUAACUGGAUUAGAGAUGAGUAACCACAUCUAGUAGGGCUGAUGGAAAUACAGAGUUUUGUUCCUGAGUGAGCAGAUGACCUAAGCCAGGCCAAUGAAAGGCCUUCCUCAGGAUUGGAAAAACUGAGCUGGGCAAAGAGGCUUACUCCCUCUCUAGGACAAAUGGAAAGGUGAAACAUUUGUUUUGUUUGUGGCAUAAUCCCUAGGAAGAAAACCAGCACAAAAGAAACAGAAAUAAGAGACGAAAGGAGAAGACUCUAGAUGGUGUUUGAAUCUCUGAUUCCUUGUCGGUGAGGCCCAGGUGUGCCCUUGCCAGCUCAGAACUAUAUGAGCCUACCAACAAAGAUCCCUUUUUGCCUAAGCUAGUUCGACUUGGUUGCAAACCAAGUCACUUUCACCAAAAGAGAGAGACCUCACUCAUACCAUGACUUCAAAUAAGUCUGGUUUUAAUUUACAUCGUCAAAAGCUGACUUCAUUUGUGUUGUCAAAAGUUAACUUCAUUUUGAUAAGCAUCCCAAACAUCCCACCCAAAACAGUAAGAAAUAAAGUGACCAUAAAUGGCUGUUGCACUUUUCCUAAUAAAAACAGCAGUUGUUCAAAAUAAUUUUUUUUUCUAUUUAUGCCUAACAUUAGGAUAUCUAUCCAGGCAGUCUCCCAAGGAGCUCUUUCUUAUUAACAAUCUUCGUUUAAAUUGUAUUUCCAUUCCUCCCCUUCCCCAUCACACUAUCGCACUGAAUGUAUAUUAUCUUGUCAUUUUAUUAAUACUUCCUUUUCUAAAGCAACAGGAAAUAAAUCAUUUUUAAGAGAAAGUAUGUAUACUUUCUUAUUUUUUCCCUUUAAUUACAACUUUCCAAGUGCCUACUCAAGCUUAUACUUUCUCUCACCAAGAGUUAUUUUAACAGGUUUUACUGUGUCUAUUAACUCUUUUAGCUUUUCUAGUCCUUAAGGCUAGGUAGAAACCAUAAUCCUUGUGUUUACCCAGACAUUUGCUAAUUUCAAGGACAGCUAUCCAAGCUCGUUAACGGCUUUGUUCUUUGAAAAGAAUCUGGGUUUGAUUCAAUGAGUAGAGUCAUUCAAUGCAUUCAAUGCAGUGUUAAUCAUUGCAUUUGAUAGUUUUCCUUUGCCUACCCCUCUUUACAGAAUCAGCCUCAAAUUUUCUUCUGGGGAUUUACCCUUUCCCCACCCUCAGUCUAUGAGGUCUCAAUGGCAUUCUGAUUCCUACCUCAAGAUGGAUCCAUGACCCAAGCCCAAGACAACCUGCACUUGUCUUCCUGAGGAUAUGAAUUUAAGGGGCUGUGAGGCUGGCAUUCCUGCAGCCAUCUUAUGACCAUGAGGGGAUUGUCCGUCUGAGAAUGGAGCCAACCCAAAAGACAUGGAGCUGAGAGAUGGAGAAAGAGAAACCAAGUCUUAAUUACUUGAACCAAAAAUUAACUUUUGUUUAAGCCCAUUUGAAUGGAUCUUUCAUUACUUACAACUAAAAGAGUCUUAACUGAUGUAGUAAUGAUCAUGUGAAAUUCACUUGCAUAAGAGGAAAAAUUGCAUAAGUAUAUAUAUGUAUACAUGUACAUACAUAUAUAUCUUAUUUUUUUUAGAGUGAGAUCUGCAAACAAGUGAAAACUCAGAAUCUAUUGGCCAUGUCAGCUUGUCCUAUAUGCUUGCCAAAAUUAAUUGUCUAGAAAAGAGAGUAAACCAUAAGAAACUAGCCUCUGAGUAUUCUAAAAAAUCUACCCAAUUGCUUAGGAUAUCCCAAGUGUAAGAGAUUUAACCCAGUCCCUUAAUAGUGCAUUACAAUGAGAACAGUCAUUCUGUGUAGUGACUAUGAGACACCAGAAAACACAGUUAUCAGAGAGAAAGAUCCAUAGGCUCGUAGAAUUUUUGAUCUGGAGAAGUGAAGAUCCCCAGUAAUGCAGGGAAAUGGAUUCAUGUCACUUUCAACAAUAUAAAUUGAAAUUCAUGUUUUAGUUUAAUCCUUAAAUAACUGAAAAUUUAAAUAUAUGAAAACAAUGGUUUUCCAGUCCCUUCUACUGACUAAGGCUCUACAAUACAGCGACUUUUACCAGGGCUGGGCCUUCUUAGGUCUUGAGGAACAUAGAAGAUUAACAAACAACCCCUACCUCGUUUUCUCCAUCCUGUAACUCACAUGGUAGGACAAAUCUUCUAUUUUUCAAGGUGAUCUUUGAGGAAUGUCAUACAUUUUGAUUCAGAUUAUUUGGGAGGAAGUAUGCAAAGUAGAAAAACGGAAGACAUUUAGAGUUAGCAGAUUUUCAUUUGGAUCCUAGCCCUGUCCAUACUGUGUGAGCUCACCAGAUAUAAACCCCAGGAGGGCACAGCCCAGAGCUGUCUUAAUUCAUUGAUGUACACCCAGUGCCAAGCACAGUAUCUGAGACAUAUAAUAGGUGCUCAAUAGAUUUUUGUGAAACAAAUUAAUAUAUGGAUUUUGCCUGAGUCCCUUAACCUUUCUAUGUUAGUUAAGCUAACUGGUACAACCACCAUCAAGACCUCAGUGCCUGGACACAAUACAGGUUUGUUUCUCACUCCCGUCACAGUCUAACUCAGGUCAGUGAAUGGGAGAAAACAUCUCUGCUCCACAGAGUCAUUCAGGGACCCAGGCUCCAGCCAAGUGGUGGCUUCACCAUCCCUUGGGGCCUCGUACUGCUCUACUGGAUCUUAUGCAUCUAGAUGGCAGGUAGAGGAGUACUGAGUAUGACUAUACUGCAAUUUAUUUAUCCAUUCUCUUGUUGGUGGACACUUGUAUUGUUUCCAGUUUUACGCUAUUUUAAGGCUGUGAAAACAAAGGAUUGUAUGCUAGGUCUUAGUGGCCAGCCCUGGAGCAGGCUUCUGCCACAUUCCAUUGGCUGGAACUCUGUUGGCCCACCCCUCCAAAUGCAGGAGAGCUGGGAACUGUGAUCUAGUGGCAUGCCCUGGAAGCAGAGGAGAAGCUCAAACAUUGGAGGGAAUUUGCUUUUCUGCUUUACUCUCUGAGCCCCAAUUUCUUCUUCUGAAUAGAAGAAUUAAUAAUUGCUAUUUGCCAGCACUUUAUGAGGAUUUAAUGAGGCAAUAAAUGUGGAAGUACUUGGUAAAGUGCUAAUCAAAUCCUGGGUAAUUUGGUCCUUUUACCUCUGCAUUUCAUCUAUGAAAUGUGUAGGCUGAAAUGCCCUCUAACAAUCCUUUCCAGCUCUAAAAUGCUUUGAUUCUGUGUUUCUUUUCAAUAUUCAGCAAGUGCCUUUCUGACUUUGUACUGGGGUCUAGGAUAAAUCCUUACGAUCCUACACAUCAUUCCACAAUCCAGUGCUCCUGUCUCACACCCUCUUUCAUUGCAUAAUACUGCCCGCUUGGUUUUUUUUUUUGAGACAUAAGCUGGUUCUAUGUUAUCUCAUUUAAAUUCUGUUCAUUCCAACUAUGGGCAAAAGGUAAUUUUUGCCUUCCUAUUGCAUCGACCAGUUCCAGCCUGCUAGACUUCUUAUUUCAGAAGAAAACUGUAGAUGUAGGGAUGAGAACGUAAGAAAGCAUUCAACAGAUUCCUGCCUUGAAAGAGUCUACGUAAUAGAAGUUUGGUUCAAUUUCUCUCCUUUGUCUGUGGUUUCUUUAGUCUCUUGCCCCAGUUUCCCAGCUAAAUUCCCUUUGCCGUCCAUUGACAACUGUUUUGCACAAUUCCUAGAGGAGGUCAGCAAGGAGAGGUCUGAAUUCUGUGUUAAAGGCAGGUGACGGGCUGAUACGCUUUGGUGCUCAGGGGUAUGCUGGCUUCUAGGUAAUUCACAUAAAGCAGAGGAACUGGUCUACCCACUUCCCUUCUGGCCUCUUCUUAUCCUUCUCCAGACCACAGCCAGGGGCUCUUUUCACAAUGCAAAUCUGAUGUCAGUCCUGUGCUUAAAACACUUUAAUGUGUGUAUUGUACUUAAAAAAAAUUUUUGAUAUAUAUUAUAAAAAAUCUAAAACAAGAUCUUUAGUCCAGUUUGAGGAGUUUUGAUAAUUGGAUGUGCCUCUGAAAUCACCCCCCCAAAGAAGACACAAAACAUCGCUAUCACCUCGGAAAGCUCCC